CAGGAGAAUCGGACGAAUCAUCGCAAUUCCAGAGGAUGGUUGGCUCCUAGGAAUAAAUUCCACUUCUGGAAUCAGACAUUGCAAUGGAGGAGAUCACGGUUAUGACAACUUGGAUGUUAACAUGCGGACUCUUUUUGUGGCUCACGGUCCCGCUUUCAAGAAAGGAAAAGUAGUGGAGCAUUUUCAGAAUACCGAGCUUUACAGCAUGAUGGCAGGUAAAUGUCAUGUUAUUCGUUGUUUGA